CAAUUGAAUUUCGUCAAAGCCCCUUUUUGGUUCUCAGCCCAGUCCCAUUUUAGCUUUGUAUUCCUGAUAAGGUGUUUGGUUCUGUUGGUAUAUCCAUGUCCACCAAGAACACUGGGGUAAGUUUGAUCCUUGUAUCCCUAAGUGUAUAUCUUUGGGAUAUUCUGCCACUUAGAAUGGAAAGUUUUAUCACUCUCCUUCGCUGAAAAUGUUUGUUUUUGGUGAUAUCUCAUUUAGGGAAGAAACAUUUUAGGUGAACCAGAAACUUCUCUUCAGGGGGAGCGGGGUGUGAUUAAGGGAAGUUUUGGUAUAAGUUACCAAAGUUUCAUAGAUGUAAUUGGUAACUAUGCUAUCGUAGAAGUAGUGAAUUGGACACUUAAGACACCUGUUGACCAAUCAACUGACCAAUCAAUUGCCAUUCAUGUGAAUCCUGAAGUUGUUUGCAGAAUCCAACCCAUGUGUUGACCUUUUGGUAUUGAUUUAACUGAUAUGGAUGUGCAUGUUAAUGAUACUCGAUUCCCAGUAAGGGGACUAAUGCUGCUGGUUACCACUUCCUGUGAACAUAAGUCUCAUGAUUGUUGUCACCAUCUGUAUUUGUCUUAUCAAUAUUUAUCACAAUCUUAUAAAGAUUUUGCGACCUGGUCCUCUAUGUCUCUCCUUAUGUUCCUGGAAAAUCUAAUUGGAAGGCUGCUGUGGCUGAGGAAUGGAAGGUCUCGAAAAGAACUCUACUUGUAGUUGGUUGCAAAUGGAGAUAUUUAGGUGAAGCAGAAGGUAGACGGUUUUAUUGAAAGGGAUCUUGAGGAGGAAGUGUGAAUGAAUUCUUUCCUAGCUUUGCUACCAUUUUUUAAGGCGCAAGUGCAGAUUGAGAAAAUCACCAUAUAGGUUGAAGCAACAUCCUAAAGCUUGGUUUGGCAUAGUUAUGCAAUCUAUGAGAAAGCAUGGAUAUCACCACGACCAGUCUGUUUAGACAUUAUUACUUACAGCCUUAUGUAGAUGAUAUUGUGGUAAUUGGUAAUAAUACAAAGGAGAUGAAAACAUUUAGUUUAGAGGAUUUAUAGAAUUGCUCACUUUCACCUAUAUUUAUGAUGAAUACAUAUAACAAAGCUAACAUUAACUAUAAGUGCGAAAUUUUGUUUAAAUGCUCUCGUUUCAUAAGGAAUUGAAGAUCUUUAAUUAUGUCAUUUUCAAGUAUAACUGUUUUGAACUGAAUUUGAAUUAUAGGUGACUGGCUAGUAAUCCUUUUGUC